CCUUUAUUGCGAUUUUUUGGUCUUCGAGAUCUUUUUGAAUUAAGCGUAGGGUGGUUAUUAUUUCUUCCAUUGUUAUAAUUCACUUGGAUUUAUGAAGCAAACGACGAUUCCAAGAAAAUCUAUCUUAUCUUUGUUUUCAUACAGGCGGUGCCCUCUUUUGAGCACAUACAGAAUUUAGAUAUGAGAAUGCCGAUAAUUAUUGACAAAAUGGUUGAUUAUCUAAAUAUGUGUCGUCCGCUGGCAGAUGGCGCUGAUACAGCAAUAUGACUCCGAUGUUUAGUUUUUUUUUUUUAUUUAUUUCCAAGGCUGUAAUUAUUGAGAUUUUUCUUUUUAGGUACACUAUUCACUGUUUGUAAAAUUGUAUUCACUAGUUAUUUGCACUUCACCGGUUAUUGCCGGACCACAACAAUCCACUUUGUUUUUUGAAGGUAUAGCACCGGUUUCACAAUGUUCGUCCAAUUUUUCUAUUUUUCGGUUCUUUUUUCAAGUCUACUAUUCCACUAAUUCUAUUAAGUGUAACGUGUCACUUUUAUUCACUUUUUCUAUAGUUUAGUACACUUUUUUUAUUUUUAAUCACUUAUGAAUACACAGUCGAUGUAAUCGUGGCACUGCUUCGCCUACCCUCCCUAUAACAAAUAGCAUUUCACAAUUCGAUAUGCGCCAUUGAUGAUCGAUGAUAGUUCAAGCCCAAACUCCAAGGGAAGCAAUAGUAAUAGUUUAAUUUAAUAAGACAUAACAUUCUGUAAUAAAAAAAUAAACCUGCAAAGUCUAGUUUGCUUAAAAUUGAUAUGUAAGCAAGCACGGAUUCCACAACACAACUCUACGUAUAUAGACAAGUCAGAUAACAUUCUCCGAGUACCAGCGAUAGCAUACGAUGACCAGAAAACCAGAAGGAAAUACAAGAAGACCCCGAAGAGCACGAUCCAGAAGAUAAUCAAGAGGAACAGGAUGAAGAUAAAGAAGUUAUAUGUCCAUCAGAUGACAAAGCCCACACUUCAGCCGAAGCCAAUGGGCACGUUCAGAACAGAACCAAAGUUAAAAGACGAACAAACGACACAAGCGAAUAAAAGAAGACAAAAGAAAUGGAACUCUAAAGUCGUUAGAAAUAGAACGCCUUUUCAGAACUUACAGAGAAAUAGAUUUAGAAGAAGCUUAGAGAGUGAUAAUUUGUUUGUGAUCAGAGAUUUAGAUGAAAUUGAGUUUUUGGGUAAAGACAAUGAUUCUGUUACAGUGAAUGCCCAUGUUAAGAGGUAUUGGUGAAAUAAAUAAAUACAUUUAAUUAAA